rnacentral:rRNA from 1 species
CACGUAGGGUGCGAGCGUUGUCCGGAAUUAUUGGGCGUAAAGAGCUCGUAGGCGGUGUGUCGCGUCGGCCGUGAAAACCUGCAGCUUAACUGUGGGCUUGCGGUCGAUACGGGCAUCACUGGAGUUCGGCAGGGGAGACUGGAAUUCCUGGUGUAGCGGUGAAAUGCGCAGAUAUCAGGGAGGAACACCGGUGGCCGAAGGCGGGUCUCUGGGCCGAUA